rnacentral:rRNA from 1 species
UACGUAGGGUGCAAGCGUUAUCCGGAAUUAUUGGGCGUAAAGAGCUCGUAGGCGGUUUGUCGCGUCUGCUGUGAAAACUGGAGGCUCGACCUCCAGCCUGCAGUGGGUACGGGCAGACUAGAGUGCGGUAGGGGAGACUGGAAUUCCUGGUGUAGCGGUGAAAUGCGCAGAUAUCAGGAGGAACACCGGUGGCGAAGGCGGGUCUCUGGGCCGUAACUGACGCUGAGGAGCGAAAGCAUGGGGAGCGAACAGG